UACGUAGGGCGCAAGCGUUGUCCGGAAUUAUUGGGCGUAAAGAGCUCGUAGGCGGCUUGUCACGUCGGGUGUGAAAGCCCGGGGCUUAACCCCGGGUCUGCAUUCGAUACGGGCUAGCUAGAGUGUGGCAGGGGAGAACGGAAUUCCUGGUGUAGCGGUGAAAUGCGCAGAUAUCAGGAGGAACACCGGUGGCGAAGGCGGUUCUCUGGGCCUGUACUGACGCUGAGGAGCGAAAGCGUGGGGAGCGAACAGG
rnacentral:rRNA from 1 species